rnacentral:rRNA from 1 species
UACGUAGGUGGCGAGCGUUGUCCGGAUUUACUGGGCGUAAAGGGCGUGCAGGCGGUUUGUUAAGUGCAGGGUGAAAGCUCCCGGCUCAACUGGGAGAGGUCCUUGCAUACUGGCGAACUCGAGGGAGGCAGAGGAAAGUGGAAUUCCCGGUGUAGCGGUGAAAUGCGCAGAUAUCAGGAGGAACACCGGUGGCGAAGGCGGUGGUCUGGGCCGGCACUGACGCUGAGGAGCGAAAGCGUGGGGAGCGAACAGG